AUGGCGGAGGUCGCAAGAGCAGCAGGAGCGACGCCUCUCCUCCCUGGCCUCCCCGACGAGAUCGCCAUCUGGGAGAUCCUCCUCCGCCUCCCACCAAAACCCCUCCUCCGCAGCCGCGCCGUGUGCCCCGCCUGGCGCCGCGCCACCUCCGACCGCGACUUCCUCCUCGCCCACCACGCCCGCCAGCCCUCCCUCCCCCUUCUCUACGGCGACACUGACGACCUAUCGUCCAUGGACAUCAUCACCUGCGACAACCGGCACCGGGCAGCCGACAAGCUCCAGUCCGUCGCGCGACUUGACGACGCCUCCUGCUUCAUUCCUGUGGCCUGUUGUGACGGCCUCCUCGUCUUUCGCACCAAUAGUAAGAGGGGUGAGAGGCGCCUCUCCAUCUGCAACCCGGCCACUCGUCAAUAUGCUCCCCUCCACCAGCUUAAUGGCUUCAAGCUUUUGGGGAUGUACCCACACGGCCCUACCGGCGAGUACCGACUAUUGCUCUACCUGAAAUCUGAUGCUCAAAGUGGCUCCUAUGUCUUCACAUUGGGCUCUGCCCAGCCGCCGAGGCACAUAAGGGGCCCUGACGCCAAGGAAUUGAUGAAUUCCCGUGGAUCUGUCCUUCUCCGUGGUAGCUUGCAUUGGCACACAGACAACCUCAUAAUGGUAUUUGACACCACCACCGAGUCAUUCCGGCAGAUGCGCUCUCCGAUUAUUUCUGGCCAUGUCGGCAUGUUUGAGAUGGGUGACAUGCUUGGCAUGUUCAGUCUUAAUGACGAAGAGACCAUUGUUGAUAUCUGGGUGAUGCGGGACUAUCAAGGCCAAGUCUGGGCCUCCAAAGGCAGGGUUGAAUUUCCCAUUGAAGAGCUCAUGGCGCAAUCUGAAGAUCUUGGUAGUUGCUGGGAAGUGGAGACCACAUAUUGGGAUGGUGAUCUGCUGGUGCUGGCCAAAUUUGACGACGGCUCGCUACAUCAGAUUGACAUCGCUGGCAAGUUGGUUGACAGUUUCCGUCACAGAGUCCUCUGUCCUACCCAACUUCGGCUGAAACAAUCUCUAGUUCCACAUACCUUCUUUCUGGCACUAGAGGGUUAUGUUGUCAAUGCUUCGCCUUUCAUUUGA
rnacentral:rRNA from 1 species